rnacentral:lncRNA from 1 species
UCCGAAUGAGGCAAGGUAUCUAAUGCGGCAGUUGGAGGGUACUCCAAAUAGUACUUGUUAUUUAGCGCGAUCAAAGUCACUGGGAGUUGAGAGGCCUGCACAUGAUAAAUGAAAAAUGGAAAAUGGAAAAUUGAUUGUCGUCAUACCAAAAUGAACUCUAGUGGGGUCCCUGAAAGAAGAUGAAUAUGAGAAAGAAAACUAGUAAGGGAUGCCUCCAAAAAAUUAAAAUGACUCCCUCCCAUUCUUUUUACUUUGUUACCAUUCGUAUAAAUUUAUAGUACUUUUCAUAUUAAUAUAAAAAAUUAAUAUAAAAUUUAAGCCAUAUUGAUAUGACUUAGAGAUAGAAAUUUGACUAGACUCCCACACCUUUGGGAGUCUCUAUUGUCCUUCAUUCUUCAUCAUUUUAUCCUCCAUCCAUUUCAUUUAAAAGAAAAAUUAGUUUUUUUUUUUUUACAAAAGGAUUGAAAAAAGAGUUUAUUACUACACAAUUAGAAAAAAUAUUCUAGUAAUUAUUAGGCCUUUUUCAGAAUAGAAAAAGGCUCCAUUAGUCCCAAAAUAAUAUGUUUGAUCAUAUUCAUACGAGAGCGUUUGAAUAAAAUUAUUAGUGACAUAAAGUAAAUUAUUAAUGAGAGGAUUUACUCAUAUAUACAAAUACCGAAAAAAAAUAGAAUUGUUUUUUUUUUUUAAUUUUAUAUAUUUAUUUUUCUUGUGUAGUAUUCUUAAAUGAUAUAAAGUCUUUAAUUAAGCUCAUAUAUUAAUAUAAAACUAAAAUAAGAUGUUAGUCAUGUAUUUGUAAAUACAUACCUUGGAUGUUAUUUCUAAAAAAAAUAUUUACAUACCUUGGAGAAUUAAUGCUAACACUUUUUUAGUUUCACC